AGUGAACGCUGGCGGCGUGCCUAAUACAUGCAAGUCGAACGGAGUGGCGCACGGGAGAGUAAUGUAUAGCUAAUCUGCCCUCCACUAGAGGACAACAGUUGGUAACGACUGCUAAUACUCUAUAGUGUAGGAUGAGGCUAUAUUGUAUCCGCUAGUUGGUGAGGUAAUGGCUCACCAAGGCGAUGACGCAUAACUGGUCUGCUAGGAUGAUCAGUCACACUGUAACUGAGACACUGUUCAGACUCCUACGGGAGGUAGCAGUAGGGGAUAAUGCUCAAUGGGGGAAACCCUGAAGCAGCAACGCCGCGUGGAGGAUGACACUUUUCGGAGCGUAAACUCCUUUUGUUAGGGAAGCGGUACCUAACGAAUAAGCACCGGCUAACUCCGUGCCAGCAGCCGCGGUAAUUC
rnacentral:rRNA from 1 species